ACGCAUAUUGCACAUCGUGGGAACCUACCGUGAUGUACACAUACUUGAGC
rnacentral:rRNA from 1 species